rnacentral:rRNA from 1 species
GUGGGGAAUUUUGGACAAUGGGCGCAAGCCUGAUCCAGCAAUGCCGCGUGCAGGAAGAAGGCCUUCGGGUUGUAAACUGCUUUUGUACGGAACGAAACGGCUCUGGUUAAUACCCGGGGCUAAUGACGGUACCGUAAGAAUAAGCACCGGCUAACUACGUGCCAGCAGCCGCGGUAAUACGUAGGGUGCAAGCGUUAAUCGGAAUUACUGGGCGUAAAGCGUGCGCAGGCGGUUUUGUAAGACAGGCGUGAAAUCCCCGGGCUCAGCCUGGGAAUGGAGCUUGUGACAGCAAAGCUGGAGUGCGGCAGAGGGGGAUGGAAUUCCGCGUGUAGCAGUGAAAUGCGUAGAUAUGCGGAGGAACACCGAUGGCGAAGGCAAUCCCCUGGGCCUGCACUGACGCUCAUGCACGAAAGCGUGGGGAGCAAACAGGAUUAGAUACCCUAGUAGUCC